rnacentral:rRNA from 1 species
UACGUAGGGCGCGAGCGUUGUCCGGAAUUAUUGGGCGUAAAGAGCUCGUAGGCGGCCUGUCGCGUCGGUUGUGAAAGCCCGGGGCUCAACCCCGGGUCUGCAGUCGAUACGGGCAGGCUAGAGUUCGGUAGGGGAGAUCGGAAUUCCUGGUGUAGCGGUGAAAUGCGCAGAUAUCAGGAGGAACACCGGUGGCGAAGGCGGAUCUCUGGGCCGACACUGACGCUGAGGAGCGAAAGCGUGGGGAGCGAACAGG